rnacentral:sRNA from 1 species
AUUGUGGUCACCGAGUGUGAGCCGGGCUGUGCUGUGGACCUCGGCUUGGCCCGGGACCGGCCCCUGGAGGCCGAUGGCCAACAGGUCCCCCCCGACACCUCCGGGUCCCAGGCCCGGCCCCACCUCUCCGGUCGCAAGCUGUCUCUGCAAGAGCGGUCCCAGGGUGGGCUGGCAGCCGGUGGCAGCCUGGACAUGAACGGACGCUGCAUCUGCCCGUCCCUGCCCUACUCGCCCGUCAGCUCCCCGCAAUCCUCGCCUCGGCUGCCCCGGCGGCCGACAGUGGAGUCUCACCACGUCUCCAUUACGGGUAUGCAGGACUGUGUGCAGCUGAAUCAGUAUACCCUGAAGGAUGAAAUUGGAAAGUAGAGACGGGGUUUUGCCAUGUUGGCCAGGCUGGUCUCAAACUCCUGACCUCAAGUGAUCCGCCUGCCUUGGCCUCCCAAAGUAUUGGGAUUACAGGGCUCCUAUGGUGUCGUCAAGUUGGCCUACAAUGAAAAUGACAAUACCUACUAUGCAAUGAAGGUGCUGUCCAAAAAGAAGCUGAUCCGGCAGGCCGGCUUUCCACGU